GACGUAGGGCGCGAGCGUUGUCCGGAUUUAUUGGGCGUAAAGAGCUCGUAGGCGGCUUGUUGCGUCGACCGUGAAAACCCGGGGCUCAACUUCGGGCUUGCGGUCGAUACGGGCGGGCUAGAGUUCGGUAGGGGAGACUGGAAUUCCUGGUGUAGCGGUGAAAUGCGCAGAUAUCAGGAGGAACACCAAUUGCGAAGGCAGCUCGCUGGAACGUUACUGACGCUGAGACGCGAAAGCGUGGGGAGCAAACAGG
rnacentral:rRNA from 1 species